UACGGAGGGGGCUAGCGUUGUUCGGAAUUACUGGGCGUAAAGCGCACGUAGGCGGCUUUGUAAGUUAGAGGUGAAAGCCCGGGGCUCAACUCCGGAAUUGCCUUUAAGACUGCAUCGCUAGAACGUCGGAGAGGUAAGUGGAAUUCCGAGUGUAGAGGUGAAAUUCGUAGAUAUUCGGAAGAACACCAGUGGCGAAGGCGACUUACUGGACGACCGUUGACGCUGAGGUGCGAAAGCGUGGGGAGCAAACAGG
rnacentral:rRNA from 1 species